rnacentral:rRNA from 1 species
AAAGCCCCGCAAGGGGUAAGUAGAGUGGCAAACGGGUGAGUAACACGUGGGUGACCUGCCUUAGAGUGGGGGAUAACGUCCCGAAAGGGACGCUAAUACCGCAUAACAUCCUGCCUUUGAAGAGGUGGAGAUCAAAGCUGGGGACCGCAAGGCCUGGCGCUCAAAGAGGGGCCCGCGCCUGAUUAGCUAGUUGGUGAGGUAAUGGCUCACCAAGGCAACGAUCAGUAUCCGGCCUGAGAGGGCGGACGGACACACUGGGACUGAGACACGGCCCAGACUCCUACGGGAGGCAGCAGUGGGGAAUUGUUCGCAAUGGGCGCAAGCCUGACGACGCAACGCCGCGUGGAGGAUGAAGACCUUCGGGUCGUAAACUCCUUUCGAUCGAGACGAACAGCCAUCGGAUGAACAAUCCGGAGGUUUGACGGUACCGAGAGAAGAAGCCCCGGCUAACUCCGUGCCAGCAGCCGCGGUAAUACGGGGGGGGCAAGCGUUGUUCGGAAUUACUGGGCGUAAAGGGCUCGUAGGUGGCCAACUAAGUCAGACGUGAAAUCCCUCGGCUUAACCGGGGAACUGCGUCUGAUACUGGAUGGCUUGAGUUCGGGAGAGGGAUGCGGAAUUCCAGGUGUAGCGGUGAAAUGCGUAGAUAUCUGGAGGAACACCGGUGGCGAAGGCGGCAUCCUGGACCGACACUGACACUGAGGAGCGAAAGCCAGGGGAGCAAACGGGAUUAGAUACCCCGGUAGUCCUGGCCCUAAACGAUGAAUGCUUGGUGUGGCGGGUAUCGAUCCCUGCCGUGCCGAAGCUAACGCAUUAAGCA